GACAGAGGAUGCAAGCGUUAUCCGGAAUGAUUGGGCGUAAAGCGUCUGUAGGUGGCUUUUCAAGUCCGCCGUCAAAUCCCAGGGCUCAACCCUGGACAGGCGGUGGAAACUACCAAGCUGGAGUACGGUAGGGGCAGAGGGAAUUUCCGGUGGAGCGGUGAAAUGCGUAGAGAUCGGAAAGAACAUCAGUGGCGAAGGCGGGUUGCUGGGCCGACACUGACGCUGAUGCGCGAAAGCCAGGGGAGCGAACGGG
rnacentral:rRNA from 1 species